CCUACGGGUGGCAGCAGUGGGGAAUAUUGGACAAUGGGCGAAAGCCUGAUCCAGCCAUGCCGCGUGUGUGAAGAAGGCCUUCGGGUUGUAAAGCACUUUCAGUGGGGAAGAAAGCCUUGGGGCUAAUACCCUCGAGGAAGGACAUCACCCACAGAAGAAGCACCGGCUAACUCCGUGCACAGCAGCCGCGGUAAUACGGAGGGUGCGAGCGUUAAUCGGAAUUACUGGGCGUAAAGCGCGCGUAGGCGGUCUGAUAAGCCGGUUGUGAAAGCCCCGGGCUCAACCUGGGAACGGCAUCCGGAACUGUCAGGCUAGAGUGCAGGAGAGGAAGGUAGAAUUCCCGGUGUAGCGGUGAAAUGCGUAGAGAUCGGGAGGAAUACCAGUGGCGAAGGCGGUCUUCUGGACUGACACUGACGCUGAGGUGCGAAAGCGUGGGUAGCAAACAGGAUUAGAUACCCGAGUAGUC
rnacentral:rRNA from 1 species